AAGUCGUAACAAGGUUUCCGUAGGUGAACCUGCGGAAGGAUCAUUACUAAUGUUUACACAUUCUUAAUAAAACCAAACCUUAUGUGAACCCAAUUUGACGUUGGCUGGGACCAACCGGUGUAAUGUUUGCCCUGGACCUUUAUUUGGCCUGGGGUAGGUGGCACACCGGAAGGUACCAGUUGACCCUAAAACAUAUUAACACUUAUGCCUUGAUAUCCGUCCGAGUGCUCUGGGCAGUAUUGCCUGGUUACCUUGGACAACUAAGGGUAAAAAACUUUUAGCAACGGAUCUCUUGGCUCUC
rnacentral:misc_RNA from 1 species